GCCAGCGUCGCUCUUGCUGCAGAGAUUACGAGCGGAGCUGUGGCUGCGCAGCGGAGAGCGUCUCGUUGUCGCUACUGCCCCGCGCGAAGUGUCCCGCUCGCCGCGAAUCCGCGGGACCGGCCGGGAAAGGGAGCAGGCUGGGCUCGCCGCGGGGUGCCGCUUUGCUUGGCGGACCGGACCGUCCUUCCCCUCUGUCUCCAUCCCCGGCCGCCGGGAACCGCCGGGCUCCCCGUCUUUUCCGCGGGACCACUCUCUCCCCUCCGCGGCGCUGUCCGAUGAAGCGUUGAUCGGGCGGCAGGUAGCGGCGGGCUCCCUGGUGCCCCGGCCCCGCGGCUGCCAUGCGGCGUGGCGCCGUCAGGCGGUGGGCGCCCUAGUGCGGCGCUUGGGCGGGUGGGGGGCGGAAGAGGCCGCCCCACUGCUGGCACCGCCUCGGCCCCGGUCCGUGUCUGAGGAGAUCCCCUCUCCUGGGAGAGGGGGAGGAGAGCGAGGAGAGAGCGGGAUAAUUUCUGCCCGUUGAAAAAGGAAGGAGAGGGGGACGGAAAAAAAAAAACAAAACGCAAUCUCGUUUGUGGGACAUCUUCAAAGCUCGGCAUAGCGCCAGGCCCCCGAGUUCCCAUAGGACGCACCGACUCUGGUGGACCUCGCCACGGCGGCAGGAGGAAACCUGGUUGCGGCUGCCGCAGCGAACUCCUGCACGCCUUAGAGACUCUUGGGCUUUCCGGCUGGAAGAUGCGUCCUGCCGCAGGAGCGUGCUGCUGCUGAGGAGCGUGCGGCUGUGGAACAUGCUUGCCUUUGGGAUUAUGUGUGGAGAAAGGCCGUCGGUCCUGGGGAGAGCUGGCUGGUGAACCUGUCUGACUUUGUCCCUUUCUGGGGAAGUGGCUUCAAUGGCUCCAUCUCCCAGGAGAAGCAGUAGGAAAGAUGCCAAUGCCUUGCCAAGCAUGUCCUCAACUUUCUGGGCUAUCAUGAUCCUGGCUAGUCUCCUGAUCGCUUACUGCAGUCAACUGGCUGCAGGUACAUGUGAGAUUGUUACUUUGGACAGAGAUAGCAGUCAACCCCGAAGGACUAUAGCUCGACAAACAGCUCGCUGUGCAUGUAAAAAAGGACAGAUUGCCGGUACAACAAGAGCAAGGCCAGCCUGUGUUGAUGCACGAAUUAUCAAAACAAAACAGUGGUGUGAAAUGCUGCCGUGUUUAGAAGGAGAAGGCUGUGAUUUGCUAAUCAAUAAAUCAGGCUGGACCUGUACACAACCAGGAGGUCGGAUAAAGACAACCACGACUGAAGACCAGCUGGAAAUGUCCUGAGGCCAUGGUCUAGUGGUCUGAGCUUGGGACUGGGAGCCAGAAACUCCUGAGCUCUAAUCCCGGCUCUGACAGUGACUUCCUCUGUGGCCUUGGGUCUCCUGACAAAUACAGCAACACAGAAUCCUCGUAGGAGUGGUUUAGGCUCUGUAUGAGCUACUUAACUUAGUCAAGUUUCACUGCUGUGGACCAUCAUCCAUUAUAUGUCAUCAACUCAACUGUCUGUUUAUCUGUAUCUCAUGAAAGACAGCAUAAUUUCUCUACAUUAUGAGCUAAAGUUUGUUCUACCAUACUAAGGAUCGCUGGACUAAGGAAUAUAGAAAAAAGAGAUAUGCUUGGGCAUUAGCAAUACAAAAAAGUUCAUGGUUAAUGUUUCAUCUGCGUUAUACACCACUGCUGGACUUGCUGUUACCUACAUGUUUUAAUCUGAAGAGUCUGCUACAAUGAAGAGUAUCAUCCCAAUCAGCCUUAGAGAAGACUGUUUUGCCUAUGGGAGGACACUGAGGUGCAAAAGAGAAACUCUUCUUGUGCCCUAAACUGUCUGAAUUGCUUUUAUUUUCUUAUACUUUCAAUAUAUACAAUAGACCAAAGAGCAAAAUCUAUUUUAAAGUGGACACAAUCUUACUGUUAACAGAGUUAUGUUGUUAAAUCGUAGGGGGUCUCCACAAAGACAUGAUUCCAGCUUUCACAAAGCUGAGAUGUUGUCCAGCAGAAGUCUUUAUGGAAAGCUGCAGUAAAAACUAACCCAGAGACCAGCUCUUGAAAUGACACAUUUGAGAGAACGUAAUGGAGCACUGAAAGGAAAUGACCUAUGUUUGAAAAACUUGGGACAAAAAGAACAUAAACUGUCUACAAGGCACCUUUAUUCCUCUGUACUUAGAUUGACUUUCUCGUACUAAAAUCAUUUUCAGUUUUAACCAGUUAAACAUGCCUCUUCUACAGUUCCAUUUUUGAUAGUUAAAGUUGGAUAAUACAGUAUUUGCAAAGAGCAUGUUUGGUCAUCUGUGGCCUAUGUCUCAUCUGAUACACCAUUUAGCACCAGAAAGCAAAUUAAAGAGAAAACAAAAGUAACACUUGUUUGAAAGAGAUCAUUAAAUGUAUUUUGAAAAGCCUAAAGUUAUAUAUUUAACAGUUUUUAUAUGUUGUAUAUUUGUAGAAAAUCCUAUUUAACAAUUAACGUGAUGACUCUGACAGUCAUGACAAGUGGUUCAGAGUUAAGUUGUGUUUUAUUACUUCAGUUGUCUCUGAAGUGACUGGUGUCGUUUGCUUUCUUCCAUUGGGACAUUCUGGAUGUAAAGCAUGACGAGAGAGGACUGUGUAGAAAAAGCAAAGAAUAAUGUUGUUUAUAUUACAUAAAUGCAUUCAACCAUUGCACUGUUAGAAGGCUUUUUUUUUUAAUUUUUUUUUUUUUUUUUUGUCUUUAUGUACUGAUAAAAAUAGAGUGUAAAAUAUUUUACUCAUUGCUCUUUGUAGCAAGUUUUGUUUUUUUUUCUUUCUCGCUCUCUCUCUCUCUGUUCUUCUCUUUCUUUCCCCCUACUUUUAUGUAAUACAGUCUAAGGGUCUGUUUGCAGCCUAUUCCUUUCAGUGUUUACCUCAUUAUUAGAAAGCCCACUAUUUUAGUAUUAUUGGUUAGCAAAAGUUUAACCAAGACAGCAAAGAAGAGGGGGAAAAUGUGAAAAAACAGAGAAACAACAACAACAAAAAACUUAUUCCCUUUUUAUGUGUAAGUUUGGUUCGUAAUAGUAUGAUACAAUCAAGAAGGGAGCUUAAUUUCUUCCUGGCAAAUGUAUUAUGGUUUCAAAUAUACUACCUAAUACUCCAAUUAACUUUUAAUGUUAUGCUAGUUCUAUGCUACUAAAGAAAAAUAUAUAGAGAUUGUUCAAGUGACCAUAGAUGAAAGGUUCAAAAAUGAAAAGUCGAUUAAAGAACUUUUUUGAAGGCCUGUUCCAGUAUAGGUCUCUGCUUAUUUAAUGCAGAAGUUGAAGGAAAGAUGAAAGAUAGAUGAUUUUGUCUUCAAAUAAAAUAAAUAUAUACAAAAUUAUUAUUUAAUCGUAGGAUUUUGACCAGUGUCAAGGUAGCAAUCAAAGCCCAGCCACUUGAAAAGUGUUAUGGACUGACUGCACUAUAAAUGACAAAUGUCAGGUUUAAAAUGUCAUGCAAUAAGUGAUGGUAAAUACAUUUACUGUAUAUGUAGACCUCAAGAGCCAGAUCCCUCACUCUACCAACUCUCUGUUUUGAUUUAUUUAAAAGGGAGUGUAGUAGCCUUAUUUAGUUAACACAGUACAAUUAAAGAUGUUACAUCAUUUUGUUGCUUUACAGUAUUCAGUUUUGUGUUGGUUCAGUUAAAUUAUGAAAAAUAAAGAAAAUCCUUUUAUAAGUGAGACUUCCGUUCCGUGAGCGUGACAUGAGCAUGGUAAGACUUAGCAAUGGAAUGUGAAAUCAGGGACAUGAAUCAUAUACUGAAACUGAAGUUUCACCCUUCCCUUUUCAUGUCCUGUGUACAUUCGUUCUGGUGUGCUCAGUUUUAGAUCAGAUUAAGGUCAUUUGUCCUCUGGAAACCAGAUCCCACUAGAGGAUCUAAGAAUGGACAUCUAUAAUCUUUAAAUUCAUAGUUUCCAAUCAGUUCUGAACAUGCAAUGUUAUGUCUGUAUUCUGAGUACCUCAAACACUGAACAAAAGAUGCACACUGUUUACAUGGUCUAUUCUGGACAAAAAUAUAAGAGACAAAAAUGUUGGGAUUAUUUAUCAGAGAUCAGUUAGAUUAUUCAGUGUGCAACAGACACAUCAGGACACUUAGAAUGUUUUUAUUUUCCCACCUCCUCUAUAAAGUAUUUCAAACAAACAAAAUAUACAGUCUGUUGAUGUGAAUUAUGAGCUUAAGAGCAGUGGUGAAAUGUUUGUCUCUCAGGAACAAUAUGUUUUCAGUUUAUUGUGAGCUUCUAAUUUAAAGAAAAAAAAAAAAAGUUCCAUAAAAAAAGCAUUUCUGAAACUAUGUCAUGUGCCUCUUCCAAUGCUGCAUUUGAAACACGGAGGAGAAUGUCUUAAUAGCCUUCAUUACUCAGCUUGGUCACAAGGAACUUUUCAAAAUAUGCUUGAAACAGACCAGAAGAAUACAGAAAAUGACAUAAUAGAUAAAAACAGCCUCUUGAAAUGAAAUAAAACUGUAAACGGUUUUUGAAAAAGCUUCUUUAUAGCUUAUGUUUGCCAAGGUGAGGUCAGAUGUAACUAGUGCUGUUAAUGUUUAACUGUUUAGAUAUUUAAAAUCUGAGAUAUCAAAUGGAGCAGAUAUUAAUAUGCUAUAGCAAUCAAUGUGACACAUUGUUUUCUAAAGUGCUGAUUAUGAUUUUAUUUUAUUUUAUCUCUCCCCAAAUCAGUUCUUAGCAGUAGCUCAGGUUUUAUACAUGUAAUAUCCUCAGUCAUUCACUUGUUUAUAGAAACUAUAUUCACAUACCGUUGCAUAAAUACUUAACUCAGGCACUGUACUAUGGCAUAUUCAUAGAAUCAUAGAAUCAUUAAGGUUGGAAAAGACCUCUGAGAUCAUCUAGUCCAACUGUCCUCCUACCACCAAUAUGGUGGUAUAGCUAUACUAUGUUCCGUAGUACAACAUUUACACAUUACUUGAACACCUCCAGGGAGGGGCAGUGACUCCACCACCUCCCCAGGCAGCCUGUUCCAGUGACUGACCACGCUUUCAGAGAAACAGUUUUUCCUAAUAUCCAACCUGAACCUCGCCUGAUGCAAGAUAAUGAUAGAGACAUUUUGUCUGCAAGUGGGAAUGGCUUACUCUGUGGUAGAUAAUAGAGUUUCUACCAUUAGUUGUUUGUUCUAUGAAAUAGUUCUGGAAUAGCGAGGGUUAAAACUGAAUUUAGCUCACCAGUUUAGAGAUUAAGAGAAGUGACAUUCAGCACAAUUGUGAGUACUAUUCGGAGUUUCCAGAAGAAGAUAAUCAACACUAUCACUGAAGGACCUAUAUGGUUAUGAGGAGCAACUGAACUACAAGCUAGUAAAUUGACAGUUUGAAAGGCAAAUCACAGUAAUGACUAUUUGAGUCAUUGAACUACUGUAAAAAGAAAAGCACAACACUGGAAUUUAAAAUAAAUAAAUAAAUAAAUGAGUAAGGGUAGAAAUGAUUUGCAGCUACUGUUCUCUCUCUUGCUGAAAACCUUCCCUGAUAUCCCAACAACAGUACUAUGAUUGUGGCUAGAAUUGGUUGAUAUCCCUCAGAGGAGUAUGCAGAUGAAAGUCAUACGUCACCUUUGUGUUAAAAUUAUUAUAGAAUUUGUGGUGAAAAUUAUUAUAGAAUCACAGAAUCAUUAAAUACCAAGGUUGGAAAAGACCUCCUAGGUCAUCCAGUCCAGCCAUCCACCUUCCAGCAGUAUUUCCCCAGUAAACUAUGUCCCUUCGUACAACAUCAUUAUAAAGGCCUAGAGAACAUGGUACAUAUACUUAAUUCAGAAACAGCACAUUCUUGUUUUUAUUUUAUGCAAGUUUUAUAAAUUAUGCUCUUUUUAUUAAUUUGUCAUACUCUUUGUCAACAGAGAGUGAGAAAUAUCAAGCCAGUUCAGUUUCUUCUUGGUUGAUGUCAUGUCUUAACUGUAAGCUUUUUAAUAUUGCUAGGUUCUCAGGUAACAAAAUAUGGCAUAGCCCUCCCUGAAGUAAAUUUGCUUCUGAACUUCUAGUUUCUGGUCAGUGUGUGCUUUAUGCCUUUGAGAAAAAGAAGUCUUGUUAUAUAUAUACAUUUUUUUACUUUACAAAGAUACAGAAGUUAUAACUAAGAAAUUAUGAUACUUUCUUCUGCAUUUUUCCUAAUGCCUUAGUACACUGGCACACUGAAGCAGAGAAUAUUAGAUUGGGCUUAGACAAAUAAAGAUGGACAGGAAACAAUAUUCUAUAGCUGAAAUCUAGUUGAGGCAUGAAUAAAGAAAAGAGGCCAAGAAAGAAACUGAAAGUAAGGCCAGAGAAGAUUAAAGAUUUUUCAUUUCAAAGUAGCUAAAUUCUUAACAUUUAAUAAGUGCAGGGGAGCCAAAAGGAUUAAAAAAUGAAAUGAGGAAAUAAGAAAAGAAAUAUUUCUUAUAAUAUAGGUAUAAUAAUUUAACUAAUUAUAAUUAGUUAAAAUAUUAUAUAAUAUAGUUGUCUUAUUUUGGGAUAUAAGUCCCAUUAAAAUUUGAAAGCCAUGGGUAACAUAUAAAGAAUAAUUCUGUCACAAAUUAAAAAUAAGCUAAGAAAUGUGAGAAAAGUGAAAGUAAAUUGCAGUAAGUCAAAAUAGACAGUGACUAAUGCGGAGCCAUUCUAUGGCAGAAUCAACAUAAGUUCCUGAAUUUCUUCAUAAUCUGAAUGAAAUAUCAACAAAGGCUGCAUGAUUUGUUAGUAUCAAUAAAUUAAACUCACAAGUCACUGAAGGUGUGGAAGACGUGUGAAUAUCUAAAGGCAGAAAACAUGCAAUAAAGUAUUACUUUUAAAAAAUGGAAAACUGAAAAUCAGGCAUUUCGAUUCAUCAUUUGUCAUUCCAGCAAACCCCUUAUGGCCUCAGGAAUGUAAAACUUUAGAGCAUGUACAAAAAGGGGAAAAAUUGUUUUGUUCUGCUGUUGAGACUGAUAGUAAUGUUGGCUUGAAGCUGCUUAAUUCCUAAGUCAAAUUACUGAUUUUAUGUGGUAAAUUGAUGUUAGAUAUGUUUUUUCAGAGUUCAGGCAAGACACUGGAAGACUCUUAGGAUGAAUCUAUAGUCACAAAGCAUGAAAUGCCUUAUAAUGUCCUGCAUAGAUGGCUUGGAGAGACCAUGACCGCAGUUUCCUAGGUGUGAAGUUGCCAACAUCAGGCUAGUGAAAGUGAUGUUAAGCACCCUGAUGUAGUGCAUGGAUUCUGUGAAAUAAAUAAACAAAUAAAUUUUAUUAGUACAGCUGAUCAGUUUAUAUCAGGAAGCAACUUUUCUGAAAAUAUUAACAAAUAACAUGUAAAACACAGCUAAAGUAUAAUAAUUAGGAGAGGAUGUUAAUAUAUGUAGGUCACUCUGAAAGUAAUAUCUCUUCUUUAUUUCCAUGGGAUCUACAGUAGAUGUAAAGAGCACAAUAAAAAUAUUUGAUAGAGCAAAUUCUCAGCUACACAAUGAUCUUUUUCAACAGAAUCAACAUUAUUACCUGUGCAUUUUUAUUUGCGAGGAGCAAGAGCCUUCAUAUCUUGCACGUAAAAAUCUGCAUGGCUGCCUGAUACACGGCUUGUUUUUCACAUUGCUGAAACAUUCCACUGUUUGGUCUCUAAAAAUGUUGAGUUAGAACUGAUGAAUGUCAGUGGAUGUGAGUUUUUCCACAUAGAGGAAUUCAAUGACACGUCUUUGCAUCAUAUACACUUCCAUGUCAGAUGCCAUUUUGUCAGACUGCCCCUCUGCUGCCAUCUGUCUCAUGGCAACAAAAUGUAAUGGUAUAUUGGGAAGAAGGUUCAACUUAUACUGCUAUACCACCAACAUCAGCCUCUGAUGUAGUGUGCCAACAUAAUAAAAUAAGAGGCAUUACUUUCAGAGCAACCCUCCUAUAUACACAAAAAAGCAAAAAUGUGUCAAAAAUGUAAUAAAAGGGAAAAAAAAGUACAAAAUUUCUGUAAAGAUCUUUCAGAACAACUAUGUAAAAUUUUAGGAGUUCAAUCUUCACAGCUAUCUAUCUGAGGAGUAUGUAAUCAAAGAAACAAUGUAAUCAUUUGCAUAGAUCAAUUUAAAUUAUCAAAGUAAUCUAACCACUGCCUCAGUGGGCUAAGUAACAAUCAGCAAGUGCUCCUGCCUUCCAUCAUUGCAUAGGAAGAAUCCUAUAUAAAUAUUCCUGUACAGUCAAGAAGAUAGUUUAGUACAGGCAAAACUACAUGUCAGCCUUGCAAGGUAGAGAUUUUUGUGGUAGGAAAUUCUGACAUCAGCUGUCAUCUGGAAUGUCUUGCUGAGUAGUGAAGGUACUGCUGAAAGAUUUGCUGUAGCAAACUGAGCCACUUGUUAAAAUACAAAAGAACUGCACAUAACUCACAGAGCCUCAGUAAAGGGGGCCUUCCCAACACAAUGAGUAAUACAAAUAUUAGGGUAAAUACAUUUAUGCUGUUAUGUGAGAAGACAUUUAGUCUUCUAUAUGCAGAACAUGUCCACGUAGACUGAUGAAAAUAAAUGUGUGCAAAUUCUGUCCCUCCUGACAGUCACUUCCAUGCUAAUGUGUUUAAUCUGACUUCAGAGCAGAAAUGCAACACAGACACCAUCUUUAAUACAUAUUAGUCUAAUUGAUAUGCUGCUACCAAACAAUAAAAAAGUAUGUGGAGUCUUAAAGAGAAGUAUACAUGCAUUUGAUAAAAAUGACAGUUCUUCAGCGAGCGCAGAUAACACUUGCACGACACUGGUAAUGGAAUAUGAAGGCCAUUCAAAGCAAAUCGAAGGAUCGUGAGCUCUGGAAAAGUAGAUAUUCUGGCUGAGUGAAUAAUAAUGAUCUUUCUUUGCAUAAGUAACCAAACAUCCACAAAAAUGAGGAUAAUCACAAAUAAUUGUAAUGCCACCCAAGCUCCUUGUUGUCUUAUUCUCACUCAAUCUACUACAAUCAUAGGAGAAUGUGCAGUACAAAUACUCAAUAGCACUUAUAACUCCAAGCAUUCCUGUGAUUGCUUUUACUGUAAUAACUGUAAUGAAUUUAGCCCAGGUACCUUACUGUCUAUUAUGUUCAGAUUUUAAAUUACCCUGAAAGUGAGUCCACCUACUCUUCUGGAAGAAAUGCAGAAACUUUAGGCUGCAUCUUUGUAUGUUCCAGGUACUUCUCACUGUAUGAAGAAGCAGGGAACAUCAGGAAUAAAUGUGCCAAGAGUGGAAAGCUUUGUCUAAGAACAACUGAACUUUGUAGCUGGAAACAACAACAACAACAACAAAGAAAACUAUAUUUAAGGGCCUGAAGACAGAAGUGAACUUGUGGAAGUUUAGGCUAGGUCUCUCCAGAUUAAACAAUUAAUCAUCUAGCCAUCCAACCAGUCAAGAGAAACCUCAAAGGACAGAGGUUAUGUAUAGCAUUUAAGAGCAUUAUUCACACUGUAGAAAUCACACUUUCUCUAAUUCAGCUGAUCCAUAAACAGAAAACUGUAAUUCCAGAUGCAUACAGUAAUAUGUGCUGUCUUAACAUGUAGUGAAAAACCAAGAGAAGGAAUACAUAUGAAAGACCGCUGACAUUCUGAAAGGAAGGUCCUUGUCAUCAAGACUUUAUUUAAAAUAGAAAAUAAAAUUUGCAGUUGCCCUGUGUACUGCUGCCUCAGUUUAAGUUAGGGAGCAUAAUUCUGGGAUUGUUAUUCAUGAUGCUAAAUACAUUCAUAACUUUCUCAAAAAAAGAUUCUAUACAGACAGAUAAUUCUACAGAAGCAGAACCAAGUUAUCCCCAUCAUUUCUGCAUUCUGGUGGCAAGGCUAGGAUCUUUGGAGAGA